UACGAAGGGAGCUAGCGUUGUUCGGAAUCACUGGGCGUAAAGCGCGCGUAGGCGGCUUUUCAAGUCAGGGGUGAAAUCCCACAGCUUAACUGUGGAACUGCCUUUGAAACUGUAAAGCUGGAAUGCAAGAGGGGAUAGCGGAAUUCCUAAUGUAGAGGUGAAAUUCGUAGAUAUUAGGAGGAACACCGGUGGCGAAGGCGGCUAUCUGGAUUGCAAUUGACGCUGAGGCGCGAAAGCAUGGGGAUCAAACAGG
rnacentral:rRNA from 1 species